AACGAACGCUGGCGGCAGGCCUAACGCAUGCAAGUCGAACGAAGUCUUCGGACUUAGUGGCGCACGGGUGAGUAACACGUGGGAAUAUACCUUACGCUGGGGGAUAACAUCGGGAAACUGAUGCUAAUACCGCAUACGCCCUUCGGGGGAAAGAUUUAUCGGCGAAAGAUUAGCCCGCGUCCGAUUAGCUAGUUGGUGAGGUAAUGGCUCACCAAGGCUCCGAUCGGUAGCUGGUCUGAGAGGAUGACCAGCCACACUGGGACUGAGACACGGCCCAGACUCCUACGGGAGGCAGCAGUGGGGAAUAUUGGACAAUGGGCGCAAGCCUGAUCCAGCCAUGCCGCGUGAGUGAUGAAGGCCUUAGGGUUGUAAAGCUCUUUCACCCACGACGAUGAUGACGGUAGUGGGAGAAGAAGCCCCGGCUAACUUCGUG
rnacentral:rRNA from 1 species